rnacentral:rRNA from 1 species
GACGAACGCUGGCGGCGUGCUUAAUACAUGCAAGUCGAACGGACAGGCCCUGAUCUUGCGGGUUGCACGAGUGGCGCACGGGUGAGUAACACGUGAGUAAACUGUACCUGACUGUGGGAGAACUCUUGGAAACAGGGGCUCAUACCGGAUAGGAGCUCUUGCUGCGCGGUGGGGGAUGGUAAGAUUCGGCGGUUGGGGAUGGUCUCGCGGCUUAUCCGCCUGAUGGUGGGGUAGUGGCUUUCCAAGGCUUUGACGGGUAGCCGGCCUGAGAGGGUGGCCGGGGACAAGGGGACUGAGGGACGCCCCAGACUCGUACGGGAGGCAGUGGGCGGGAAUAUGGCGCAGUGGGGGGAAGCGUGUGACAGCAGUGCCGGGAGCGGGAUAACGUCCUACGGGUUGUAAACCGCUUUCGCCGGUGACGAAGCGGGAGUGACGGUAAUGGGUAAAGAAGCACCGGCUAACUACGUG